rnacentral:rRNA from 1 species
UACAGAGGUGGCAAGCGUUUUUCGGAAUCACUGGGCAUAAAGGGCGCGUAGGCGGCGAGGCAAGUCGGGUGUGAAAUCCCUCAGCUCAACUGAGGAACUGCGCCCGAAACUACCUUGCUAGAGUGCAGGAGAGGAGAGUGGAACUCCUAGUGGAGCGGUGAAAUGCGUAGAGAUUAGGAGGGACGCCGGUGGCGAAAGCGACUCUCUGGCCUGCAACUGACGCUGAGGCGCGAAAGCUAGGGGAGCAAACGGG